rnacentral:tRNA from 1 species
CGCGGGGUGGAGCAGCCCGGUAGCUCGUCAGGCUGAUAACCUGAAGGCCGCAGGUUCAAAUCCUGCCCCCGCAACCA